CCUACGGGAGGCAGCAGUGAGGAAUAUUGGUCAAUGGCCGGAAGGCUGAACCAGCCAUGCCGCGUGAAGGUCAGUGCCCUAUGGGCGUUAAACUUCUUUUGUGCGGGAGCAAUAAUGGUCACGUGUGGCCAGACGAGAGUACCGUACGAAUAAGCAUCGGCUAACUCCGUGCCAGCAGCCGCGGUAAUACGGGGGAUGCAAGCGUUAUCCGGAUUUAUUGGGGUUAAAGGGUGCGUAGGCUGUGAGGUAAGUCAGCGGUGAAAUGCCCCCGCUCAACGGGGUGAAGUGCCAUUGAUACUGCCUUGCUGGAAUGCGGAUGCCGUGGGAGGAAUGUGUGGUGUAGCGGUGAAAUGCAUAGAUAUCACACAGAACACCGAUUGCGAAGGCAUCUCACGAAUCCGCGAUUGACGCUGAUGCACGAAAGCGUGGAUAUCAAACAGGAUUAGAUACCCCUGUAGUC
rnacentral:rRNA from 1 species